AUUGAACGCUGGCGGCAUGCUUUACACAUGCAAGUCGAACGGCAGCGCGGGCUUCGUCCUGGCGGCGAGUGGCGAACGGGUGAGUAAUUCAUCGGAACGUGCCCAGUAUUUGGGGAUAGCCCGGCGAAAGCCGGAUUAAUACCGCAUACGACCUGAGGUUGAACGCGGGGGACCGAAAGGCCUCGCGCUAUUUGAUCGGCCGAUGUCGGAUUAGCUAGUUGGUGGGGUAAAGGCUUACCAAGGCGACGAUCCGUAGCUGGUCUGAGAGGACGACCAGCCACACUGGGACUGAGACACGGCCCAGACUCCUACGGGAGGCAGCAGUGGGGAAUUUUGGACAAUGGGGGCAACCCUGAUCCAGCCAUGCCGCGUGAGGGAAGAAGGCCUUCGGGUUGUAAAACGCUUUUGUUAGGGAAGAAAUCCUCUGGGCUAAUACCCCGGGGGGAUGACGGUACCGGAAGAAUAAGCACCGGCUAACUACGUG
rnacentral:rRNA from 1 species